CACAAAGGAGAGGUGAGAACAGCAGCAAUACCAUCACCUGGAAACUCAUUAGAAAUGCAGAUUCUCAGGCUACCCAGGACCUCCUGAAUCACACCUGGCAUUUUAACUAGCUUUCCAGAUGGUUCAGAUGGAUGUUGAAGUUUGAGAAGCACCACCCUAGAGGAACUUCAAAAGACUGUCAGUUCUUGUCAUUUAAAUAUUCGCUCAUUUAUUCACUGUUUUUCACUCAGCAAACAUUUAUAGUAAGGCUUCUAUGUGCAAACACUGCAGGGUAUGAAUACAGUAUAAUCCCUGCAUCAUGGGAUGCAGUCUAGUGGCGCAGUUUGAUGCUGCCCCAAACUUGAUCCAAGACACCAAACCUGUUAUGCAAGGGACAGGGAAGAAAGGCGGCAUUGAUACGCGUCUCCAAGUUCUCCAAGUCACUGUGUACAAAAAUACCAUCUGCUUGUUAAAACAAUCAAAGUCACAGACAGGCCUGGAGUCAGACCAGCCCUGUUUCUCUCUUUGCCCAGGGAAGGGACCUCAGGCAAACUGCCUCCUUUUGAUGAAUCCCACCUAAAAAAAUAAAGUCUUGGACUUCAGGAACAUCCAGAUUCUUCCCAGCAGCUCUCUUCAUUUCUUCCUAACUCUUCUGGUUUUAUUCAUUCACUUGGCAAAUAUUUGAGUGACACUAUCUGCUGGGGAUUGCUUCAGUGCUGGGGACAUUGGUGACAAGAUAAAUGAGGCCCUAUCAGCCAGCAAUAAGUACCACACUGAGCACUGAGACAGGGUAAUGAGAUCUGGCAUUGCUGGGUGGCUGCUUUCCAUUGGAUGGUCAGGGAGGCUUCUUGGAGGAACAGGAUUUAACUUGAGGCCAAAACGGCACAAGGGUAGAGCCAUAUAAAACUAAGGAGAAACCAUUUUAGGAUGAGGGAACAAACCCUGAAGGUGUGAACAAGCUCGGUGCAUCUAGACAUGUAAGGAAGGUUCCAGCAUGUGAAGGAGCGAGGACGGAGAAGGGUCCGGUGAGGUCUUACAGCAACAGAGGGUCCAGCCACAUGAGGCUGAGCAGCCAAGCUGGGAAAGCGGAAAUCUGGAGAACUAAAAUAUCUUGCUGAAGAUCACAAUGCAGUAAAGCAUAGGGCAAGUUUCCAACUCGAACAUCACCCCAGAACACUUCCUUUUAAACAUAAAUUAUGUUGCUAACUUUUUUAUUGUUACUUAGCAGGCAGAUUUCAAACUGAUACAAAUGUUGAAAAUGAUACAAAAUGUUUUCCCACCUUAAAGGCAUUCUGAAACCUAGCACAUAACAUCUGUCACUGAAGUCCAUAGUUUCCAAUGCCAUGAUUGGAUAAAGACCCUAUUGAGACUCAUGUGUUUGUCUCUCACUGCUUAAAACACUCAUGUGUUUUAAGCAACAUGACAAGCACAAAAGAGAACAAGUACUGCUCCUGCUCUCCAGGAAGUUACCAUAAAAUAAAGGGGAUAAGGUGCCUUCCAAAGAAAAAACAAAUACUAGGAGAGGUCAGAGGAGAAGAGAGAUUAUUCCAGAAGGAGAGACUGAGGCAGAUUUCAGGAGGGAAGAAUAUAAGAGUCCCAAAAGAAGAAACAGGAACCCAGGUUAGAGAGCAAUGGGCAAGGGGUAGGAGGUGAGACUAAACUCACAAGGAAGUUGCUUCAAAACAAUAGUGCCCCAAAUGCCAAGCUGAUGGGUUGGACCCAUUUAGGAAAAACCCACAAAGUCCACAGGAGAGCAGACUGCACUUCCAUGAGCUUCAAGCUGUAAACAGUAACCUCAAAUAAAACUUUUCCCGGAUCGGUAAUUUCCAUCCUGAACAAUGGCCAAGUCAAGGAAGCUGAGGAUCGAGCCCCCUACCGCAUGCCACAAAGAACCUCAAGGGACCCCAUGCUCUGGGGAGCUCGCAGGAGGACCAGCACAGAGGUGUGACUGCGUUGGGGCAGGGUGGCCACAUGUACAAUGUUGUACCUUCCAAUGUUCCUCCUUAGGCUGUGCUUAUGAAGUCCCAACAUGUCUUCUGGGCUGUGUUUUCAACCAAGAGAGUUAAUAAAAAGUGGGAUGGGCACCAACUAUGCCUCCAGAGACAUCAGGCAGAAUAUGCCACAGCGUGCCAUGUCCUCCUGCAAACAGUCAGAAAGAAAAGAUCUCUAAAAGCAGAUUGGAAGAGACUAUAUAUACAGAGCGAGUGCCGGUACAGAAGUUUUGCUGCAAAUACACCCUCUAAUCCCUUGCAACCCACUGCAAGCUCGAGAGACCAGUGCCCUUGGUAAAACAUAGGAGAGAUCAUUAAUUAAAGCCUAGGCCCUUUCUUUGAUCCUGAGGGAUAAGGCUUGGGAAAAUGCACAGUGAUAAAAGUGAACAUUUUAAAAGAGCAGAGUGAGUGUGAAUUCCCAAAGAGACCAUUCAUAUCAAGACCCAAGCCAUGAGAAAAUGCUACAAUGCCCUUGAUCAAUACUUUAUAGGCAUUUUGACCUCAGAUCUAAUCCCAUGAGGCUUAGACCAAGACCUUGCUUGAUGCAGACCUCUCUGACUGCUGAAAUUGGUCAGGAGCUCAGUGAUGAAAAUUUGGAAAGUCAAUGCUGAUACCUGAAGAAAGUCCCAUCAGAGAUCUGUGACCUGAAUCUUCAUAACUUUCACAGGCCCUUUCUAAAUGCCAAGGAGGAUGUGUGUGGAGAAGAAUAUGCCACCUAUGGCAUCCCAAUAUGCCUGUGCCCGCCUGCUCUUCAACAAGGGAAUGAAACCUGGGUAUUCUCAUAGGUUUUUUAAAGCACUUGUCCACAUAUUUUAUUCCGCAAAUAACACAAUUUAAAAUUCAGCUAGAAUUUGCCAUUUUCUGUCAGGGUUGUGCAUUUCUUCCAGUCACCAUGACUUCCUGAGAUAGCCAAAACACAAAAUUUAAAUUGUGUUUAAAUUAAAUAAACACAAUUUAUGCUGAAGCUGACUUUACCCACUCUGUUCCAACAUUACUUAUCCUCAGCAUCUCUGAAUUCAAAUAUCAGCCAGGUGUGGUGGCUCAUACCUGUAAGCCCAGCACUUUGGCAAGCCAAGAUGGGAAGGUUGCUUGAGGAGUUGGAGACCAGCCUGGGCAACAUAGCAAGACCCCCAUCUCUACAAAAAAAUUAAAAAAUUAGCCAGGCAUGGUGGUAUGCACCUUUAGUCCUAGCUACUUGGGAGGCUGAGGUGAGAAGAUCACUUGAGCCCAGGAGCUUGAGGUGGCAGUGAGUCAUGAUCAUACCACUGCACUGUAGCCUGAGCAACAGAGCAAGACCCCAUCCCUUAAAAAAAAUACCUGCCCUCUGUACUUCAUAGCACCUGGGGCAUUUUGAACAGUUCUUCCUUCACCUGAGGUCAUUAUUUGAGAAUCCAAUUUUAGAGACUACAAUGCUCUCAUUACUUGGAUUGUAUCAUUUAAUCUUCCCAACAAUCCAGGAAGGGGAGUCUCUUAAUGAUUGUCCUUGAUUUCCAGUUAAAAAAUCUAGACCCAGAGGUAACCUUGUGAAGGUCACAGAGUUUCAGAGUUCUAAGAUCCCAUGCGAGAUUGCUGAACUUGAACUUGUUUCUUCUGAUCUCAUGUCAAUAAGUGACUUAGUCAACACCUGGGUAGAAAUCAUCACUAAAGUGAGAAAGCACAUGGUGAGGGGGAUGAAUCCUGUGCCCACAUGGUCCCUUUCACCUGCCCAAUCCUCAGGCCUCUCACCUGGGGUACCCCUCACACACAUGGCACUUUCCUGAACUCAUGGACAUUUCAGUUUGUAACGAUCCUCCUAAGAUUAUCUACUUUCACCUAUCCACAUUUGAACUAUACUUCUUUAGUGGAAAAAAAGAAAUAAAGCCAGUGCUGAGAAUGAUCAAACUCCAGAAA
rnacentral:lncRNA from 1 species